rnacentral:rRNA from 1 species
GACUGAGACACGGCCCAGACUCUACGGGAGGCAGCAGUGGGGAAUUUUCCGCAACGGGCGCAAGCCUGACGGAGCAACGCCGCGUGUGGGAUGAAGGCCUGUGGGUUGUAAACCACUUUUCUCAGGGACGAACACAAUGACGGUACCUGAGGAAUCAGCCUCGGCUAACUCUGUGCCAGCAGCCGCGGUAAGACAGAGGAGGCAAGCGUUAUCCGGAAUUAUUGGGCGUAAAGCGUCCGUAGGUGGUCUAGCAAGUCUGGGGUUAAAGCCCGGAGCCCAACUCCGGAUCGGCCUUGGAAACUGCCAGACUCGAGUAAGGUAGGGGUUGCGGGAAUUCCCGGUGUAGCGGUAAAAUGCGUAGAUAUCGGGAAGAACACCAGCGGCGAAAGCGCGCAACUGGGCCAUUACUGACACUGAGGGACGAAAGCUAGGGGAGCGAAUGGGAUUAGAUACCCCAGUAGUCCUAGCCGUAAACGAUGGUGACUAGAUGUGGCUCGUAUUGACCCGAGCCGUGUCGUAGCUAACGCGAUAAGUCACCCGCCUGGGGAGUACGCACGCAAGUGUGAAACUCAAAGGAAUUGACGGGGGCCCGCACAAGCGGUGGAGCAUGUGGAUUAAUUCGAUGCAACGCGAAGAACCUUACCAGGGCUUGACAUCCUGCGAACCCCGCUGAAAGGUGGGGGUGCCUUCGGGAGCGCAGAGACAGGUGGUGCAUGGCUGCCGUCAGCUCGUGUCGUGAGAUGUUGGGUUAAGUCCCGCAACGAGCGCAACCCGCGUCCUUAGUUGCCAGCAUUUAGUUGGGCACUCUGGGGAGACUGCCGGUGACAAGCCGGAGGAAGGUGCGGAUGACGUCAAGUCAGCAUGCCCCUUACCGCCCUGGGCGUCACACGUGCUACAAUGGCCAGCACAAAGGGUAGCC